GCGAAUAACUGGUGUGCAAAACCGCAGACAGAACAGAAGCUGUAGGUUAGUGUCCUUCGGAUGUGAGGGUUCGAGUCCCUCCCUUCGCACCA
rnacentral:tRNA from 1 species